rnacentral:rRNA from 1 species
GAUGAACGCUGGCGGCGUGCUUAACACAUGCAAGUCGAACGGAAAGGCCCAAGCUUGCUUGGGUACUCGAGUGGCGAACGGGUGAGUAACACGUGGGUGAUCUGCCCUGCACUUCGGGAUAAGCCUGGGAAACUGGGUCUAAUACCGGAUAGGACCACAUUUUGGAUGGUGUGGUGGAAAGUUUUUCGGUGUGGGAUGAGCUCGCGGCCUACCAGCUUGUUGGUGGGGUAAUGGCCUACCAAGGCGUCGACGGGUAGCCGGCCUGAGAGGGUGUACGGCCACAUUGGGACUGAGAUACGGCCCAGACUCCUACGGGAGGCAGCAGUGGGGAAUAUUGCACAAUGGGCGCAAGCCUGAUGCAGCGACGCCGCGUGGGGGAUGACGGCCUUCGGGUUGUAAACUCCUUUCGCUAGGGACGAAGCGCAAGUGACGGUACCUGGAGAAGAAGCACCGGCUAACUACGUG